ACGGGUUCUCUCUCUUCCUCUACCUCUCUCUUCCUCUUCCUCUCUAUUCUGAAAAAUCUUCUUCUGCAUCUUCCUCCAUACCCAUAAAUUGUUAUUACAGUUUUAUUUUUGAUUUUAAUAGGUGACUAAAUCAUACAUCGAGUUUAACAAAUCUCAAAGGUGUGGUGAUAUUCGUCGCUGGGUUGUUUUGACGGAGCCGUUUUCUCCUAUCAGAAAGCACUAACAGUGUACAAAACUACUAAGAGUUAUAGAAGAUUUGUCGGUGUUGGUUCACGGCAGGCGACGGAGUAUUCUGAAACAGAAAUUCAAGAGAAGACAUCGCACCUCCCCACUCUAUCGGUGUACUAUGGUUGGUAAACCGCGUCUUUAAAAGUGUUUUGAAUUUCACUUAUUUACUUUCAGUUAGAGAUGAAUGGCCAAGAUUAAAUACGAUGGAGAAUUUUGGCUAUGAUUUGCUGUUAGUUUUGAUGCGGUUUUAGUUUAAGUGCUGGUUGAUUUAUUUGCACUUCUCGGUAUGCCUAGAUGUAUGAACCAGUUUGUAUUAAUGGGUUGCGUGGCUCGGUUUUGGUAAGGAACCGGUUUGGGAGUUGUUAUUACUUAUUGGUGUAGAUUUUCCUGGUUUGUGGAUCUGUUAAUAGCAUCUUUGUAGAUGCUUAAUACUGGUUGUUUGGAAUUAUAUUUUCAACCAAAUGGAAAUGGAGAUAUAUUUUAGUGGUUAUAUGGAGAUUUGGUUUGAGUCUCCAAAUUCAUGUGCUUUCUAUUUAGAGAUUAGUUAGUUUAAUUUUCUUAUUUUACUCUAUCAAUUGUUAUCAGACUAAGAAGAAAUUACUUAAAUUUUGAUAGAAGAAAGAUCAUGAGUUUUACAAAAUAAUUAGCAUUGAUGAUAUUGAUAAUUUUGCAGAUUAUAAAGAGGAGGUUGUUUUAAGCUUAGGGGAUCUUAAAAGUUUCGGUUUCAGAGAACUCCAACAUGCAAUUUAGAGUUUCAGCUCCAAGAAUAUACUGGGUGCUGGAGGUUUUAGCAAUGUUAUUGAUUUUAUGUUUUAAUGUUUUUUUUUAAUUUUAAAUAUUCGAAAUAAAUUACUUAUGGAAUUGAAAAUUUUAAUUUAUUACUAUUUAAU